GUAGGGAAUUUUCCACAAUGGGCGAAAGCCUGAUGGAGCGACGCCGCGUGCAGGAUGAAGGCCUUCGGGUUGUAAACUGCUUUUGUUAGUGACGAAUUUGACGGUAGCUAACGAAUAAGGACCGGCUAACUACGUGCCAGCAGCCGCGGUCAUACGUAGGGUCCAAGCGUUAUCCGGAAUUACUGGGCGUAAAGAGUUGCGUAGGUGGAUUAUUAAGCAGAUAGUGAAAGCGUCCCGCUCAACGGGAUAUCCGUUAUCUGAACUGAUAGACUAGAGUGUGGAAGAGGUAGCUGGAAUUCCCAGUGUAGGGGUGAAAUCCGUAGAUAUUGGGAGGAACACCGAUGGCGUAGGCAGGCUACUGGUCCAUUACUGACACUAAGGCACGAAAGCGUGGGGAGCGAACUGGAUUAGAAACCCUGGUAGUCC
rnacentral:rRNA from 1 species